rnacentral:rRNA from 1 species
UACGAAGGGGGCUAGCGUUGUUCGGAAUCACUGGGCGUAAAGGGCGCGUAGGCGGCCGAUCAAGUCGAGGGUGAAAGCCUGUGGCUUAACCACAGAAUUGCCUUCGAUACUGUUUGGCUUGAGACCGGAAGAGGUAAGUGGAACUGCGAGUGUAGAGGUGAAAUUCGUAGAUAUUCGCAAGAACACCAGUGGCGAAGGCGGCUUACUGGUCCGGUUCUGACGCUGAGGCGCGAAAGCGUGGGGAGCAAACAGG